rnacentral:rRNA from 1 species
UGGGGAAUUUUGGACAAUGGGCGAAAGCCUGAUCCAGCAAUGCCGCGUGUGUGGAGAAGGCCUUCGGGUUGUAAAGCACUUUUGUCCGGAAAGAAAUCCUCUGGGUUAAUACCUCGGGGGGAUGACGGUACCGGAAGAAUAAGCACCGGCUAACUACGUGCCAGCAGCCGCGGUAAUACGUAGGGUGCAAGCGUUAAUCGGAAUUACUGGGCGUAAAGCGUGCGCAGGCGGUUUUGUAAGACGGAUGUGAAAUCCCCGGGCUUAACCUGGGAACUGCAUUCGUGACUGCAAGGCUAGAGUAUGGCAGAGGGGGGUAGAAUUCCACGUGUAGCAGUGAAAUGCGUAGAGAUGUGGAGGAAUACCGAUGGCGAAGGCAGCCCCCUGGGCCAAUACUGACGCUCAUGCACGAAAGCGUGGGGAGCAAACA